GACGUAGGGUGCAAGCGUUGUCCGGAUUUAUUGGGCGUAAAGAGCUCGUAGGCGGCUUGUUGCGUCGACUGUGAAAACCCGCGGCUUAACCGCGGGCUUGCAGUUGAUACGGGCAGGCUAGAGUUCGGUAGGGGAGACUGGAAUUCCUGGUGUAGCGGUGAAAUGCGCAGAUAUCAGGAGGAACACCGGUGGCGAAGGCGGGUCUCUGGGCCGAAACUGACGCUGAGGAGCGAAAGCGUGGGGAGCGAACAGG
rnacentral:rRNA from 1 species